UACUCGAUUGAUUAUAUUAAUCCUUACACAACAUUUUUGAUGUGUUCUUAUACUGAAAGCCUUUAUUACUAUUUCAGGUAUGACCCGAGGUGGUUGGCAGUAGUCGUUGGAGGUGGUUGGAGGUGGUCGCAGGUGGACGAGGAGGACGAGGAUUUGUGCUCGGUAUGACCCGAGGUGGUUGGCAGUAGUCGUUGGAG